rnacentral:rRNA from 1 species
GACGAACGCUGGCGGCGUGCUUAACACAUGCAAGUCGAGCGGAGCGGCGAACGGGUGAGUAAAGCGUGAGUAACUGCCCCCCUCUCUGGGAUAACAGUUGGUAACGGCUGCUAAUAACGGAUAGUGGGGGAUGACUCGCGUCCUAUCAGCUUGUUGGUGGGUUAGUGGCCUACCAAGGCGACGACGGGUAGCCGGCCUGAGAGGGCGAACGGCCAAAAUGGGCUGAGAGACGGCCCCAACUCUUACUGGAGGUAGCAGUGGGGAAUGUUGCACAAUGGGUGAAACCCUGACGCAGCAACGCCGCGUGCGGGAUGACGGCCUUCGGUUUGUAAACCGCUCUCAGCCAUGAUGCGGUAGUGGCAGAAGAAGCACCGGCUAACUACGAGCCAGCAGACGCGGUAAUUC